rnacentral:rRNA from 1 species
CGCCGACCAAACCAAAGAGGCUAGAGGAAGAGAAAAAAAAGAUCGAACGAAAUUACCCAAUCCGAGAGCAAACCUAGGGUUUUCGCCAUGACCACCGCGCGCCUCGAGCUCCUCCACCCCUCCUCCAUUCCCAAUCUCUCCUAGGGCGACGCCGAUACCCUGCCCCGCAUCUCGCAUCCGCGAGAAAGGAGCCGCCUUUCCUUUCCUCUCCGCCCGCUCCCUCUCUUCCAUCCCAGGGUUUCCUCCCCCUUUCCCCUUUCCGCCCUCAAAGCCGCCGCAUCGCAUCGCGUCGCCCACCCAGCAAGCAAGCAAGCCGCCCGCUAUCGUCGCCAGGUAGGGCGUGAGAUUCGGAGGAAGGCGCUGGCGAUCGACCUCCGGGUUAGGGCCUCGGCAGCGGCGGCGGUCGGAUAAUGUGUAUACUGUGCGCCGUGCAACGGUGGUCGCGCCGCGUCGCCACCAUGCUGCCGUGGCUCGUCCUCCCGCUCAUCCUCCUCUGGGCGCUCUCCCAGCUCCUGCCCGCCGCCUACCGCUUCGAGGUCACCUCCCCGCGCCUCGCCUGCGUCUCCGUCCUCCUCCUCACCCUCUUCUGGUACGAGAUUCUCCUCCCGCGCCUCUCCAUCUGGCGUGCCCGCCGCUCGGCGCGCCUCCGGGAGGAGCGCCGUGCCCAUGCGCUCGAGCUUCAGAAGCUCCGCAAGACCGCCACACGCCGUUGCCGCAACUGCAACAAUCCCUACAGGGACCAGAACCCUGGCGGCGGCAAGUUCAUGUGCUCAUACUGUGGCCACGUAUCCAAGCGGCCCGUGCUUGACCUUGGCCCUGCGGGGAAGGUCCCGGCUGGGUGGCCUUGCAGUCAGGAUUGGGCUAAUGCAGUCGGUGACCCAGGUUACUGGCUUGACCUGCAGUGUUCCGCUGAUAACUCGUACUCAGGCUUCUCAUGGCGGCUGUUCUCGUGCUUUUGCACGAGUAUGGCAUGGUUCUGGAAGAAAGUGUUUAGGUUUGGGUCAUCAGUGGACAGCGGUGGAUUGGGCCGGGAUGGCAGAAUGUUGACAAAAGCAGGGGACAAUGGAGGCAAGGCUGAGGAGAGCAGAGUGGACAAGGCGAAAAGGAAGGCUGAGGAGAAGAGGUUGGCGAGGUUGGAGAGGGAAAUGCUGGAGGAGGAGGAAAGGAAGCAGCGAGAAGAGAUGGCAAAGCUAGUGGAGGAGCGGAGAAGGCUGAGGGAUGAGAAAGCAGAGGCUGAGGAGCGAUCCAAAGGCGCUACCCCCGUCGGGGAGAAGGAUGCUAGGAAGGAGGCAGAACGGAGGCGGCAGGAGAGGAGGAGGAAGGAAGACAAGGGAUCAAGCAAGAGCAAUUCAGACUGCGAGGAUGUUGAGAGAAGAGUAAGCAGAGAAGGUGAGAGGAAGCGCGACUUUGAUAGAAGGAAUGAGACAGACAGGCGGGACGCAGCAAGAGUUGGGACAGAUGGAUAUAAGCCCAAUAACUUUGAAGCUAACAGUCAGGGUAGUAAGAUAGCACAGAGCAAGACGAAGUACUUUGGUCGUAUGACUGGAGGUUUAUUAUCUUCUUCCAGAGGUUUUGGUGGUGGCUCCUUUUUUGGUAGAAGUGCUCAGGCACCUGUUCAUCAAGCUAACAAGGUGACUAAACCGCUCGUUACUGCAACUGACCAGAGUAUUAAAAGAGAUACCCAACCUGCAGCAACACCAGCAAUGGUCAAAUCUGCCACAGCCGGAGAAACUAGAAAUUCAUUGACUAAUCUUAGUCGACCUGUUAGUCCAAAUAUGCAGGCACAUCCUACAGGCCUUAAAAAGUCAUGGCAUCAGUUGUUUAGUCGCUCAGCUGCAGUUUCCCCUUGCCCCGAUGUUACUGCUUCAGCUCGUGAGAAGAACAUGCAGCCUGCCCCAAAUGGUGCACAGAUAAGCAGCGCUCAAAAUUUUCUUGCUCAGUAUCCUCCUCUGGACAGCACGCCGAAGUUAAGCCAAUCCAUGCACUCUGCAGGGUUUCCGCCAGUGAAUGGAGCAUCUGCCAAUAUGCCGCUAUCUCAUUUUCCAGCGGGACACUCGCCCUUCGGUAAAGUUUCAGAAGCAGCAUUACUGGAAGAACCUGAGCAAUUUGAGGACCCAUGCUAUGAUCCAGAUGCCAUCGCAUUGCUUGGUCCAGUUUCAGAGUCCCUAGACAACUUCCCUCCAGACUGGGAUAGCAGAUUCACCUUGAAUGAUGUCACCAAGCAACCACAUGUUAGGAACCCCAUGCCUUCACCAAUUGAGUCUCCUCUAUCAAGAUCACGGACUGUUGAACGAAAUCCUAUUAGACCCUCACAUUUCUCAACUGCAAAAGGGCAUAAUGGUUCAAUGUCAGCUGAGGCUAACAAUGAGCAAGGCACAUGGCAAAUGUGGAGCACGCCGCUGGUACAGGACAGUUUAGGCCUGCGAGGUCCUCAGGGACAAUGGCUUCUACCAAACACAAAUCAAUUCAACCAUGGCAUCAAUCAUUUGAAUGGUGGAACAAGAAGCCCCCUCAGUGCUGGUCUGAAUGACAACGAUUUAUGGCGGCAGAAAUCACCCUUCCAGCAGUUGCCUCUUGAUACAGAUAGUCUGUUCCUUUCACACGACAUGUCAGAAAAUGCUAUACACAACGACUUGGGUUUUGGAUCUCCAAACAAAACAGCCCGUGCGCACCCCUUUGGACCACCUGAUCCUUGUCAUUCUUGGUCCAAGGAGCAGCUGGUGCCGAAUGGACCCCAGGGAGCUAGUCCAAUCCGUUCGCCGCCAACUGGAGGGCAUGCUGGUUUAUUUCCAACGAAUCCAAAUGCCCAAUCAGUCUGGUCGUUUGAUAAGAAAAGGGACAGCAUAGAAGUUAUGGGUGAAGCAAGGCUCCCUCCUUCCAGUCUAGGGAGUUGAGGAGACAUCGGCGUCGGACCGGACUGUAUUCCCUUAUGCGAAAAACGAAACAUAGCCGUCUUAUUUAGUAAGCACUCACCUGUUAACAUUGUGCGCCUUAUGCAUCCGUGUUAGGUUUCUCGCCUGAUACGCUUGUUUGGUGCAUUUUUUGGUGGAUUCAAUGCAAUGCAAUAUGCAAUGGUCGGGUUAUCUCGUUGCGCACUUGCGGCGCUGUGCAUGUUCAUCCUCUUGAGUGACC